rnacentral:rRNA from 1 species
AACGAACGCUGGCGGCAUGCCUAACACAUGCAAGUCGAACGAACCCUUCGGGUUAGUGGCGCACGGGUGCGUAACACGUGGGAAUCUGCCCUUUGCUUCGGAAUAACAGUUAGAAAUGACUGCUAAUACCGGAUAAUGUCUUCGGACCAAAGAUUUAUCGGCAAAGGAUGAGCCCGCGUAGGAUUAGCUUGUUGGUGAGGUAAAGGCUCACCAAGGCGACGAUCCUUAGCUGGUCUGAGAGGAUGAUCAGCCACACUGGGACUGAGACACGGCCCAGACUCCUACGGGAGGCAGCAGUGGGGAAUAUUGGACAAUGGGCGAAAGCCUGAUCUAGCCAUGCCGCGUGAGUGAUGAAGGCCUUAGGGUUGUAAAGACUCUUUCUAGAUGGGAAGAUAAUAGACGGUACCAUCAGAAGAAGCCCCGGCUAACUCCGUGCCAGCAGCCGCGGUAAAGU